GUGCAAUCUGCUGUAGUAUAGUGAGGACUGCAACGUUGGUUUUCCCAGCACCAGUGGGGGCACACAAAAGAACAUUGUCGGCUUUAAAAAGGGCAGUCUCGUAGACUUUACUCUGCACCCUGUUUAACUGAGUCAUUCCCUUAAAAGCUGGUUGUGCCCAAUCUGGCAUGGAAGCAAUUUUAACAAAUUUCUCAUCGCUAUCAAAAGGCU
rnacentral:misc_RNA from 1 species